rnacentral:tRNA from 1 species
GAAAGAAUGGCUGAUAAUAGGUGGUAAAUUGUAAAUUUAUUUAUAAAGUUAAAAUCUUUUUCUUUCA